rnacentral:rRNA from 1 species
UACAGAGGUCUCAAGCGUUGUUCGGAUUUAUUGGGCGUAAAGAGCGUGUAGGCGGCCUGGUAGGUCAGCUGUGAAAACUCGAGGCUCAACCUCGAGACGCCGGUUGAAACCAUCAGGCUAGAGUCCGGAAGAGGAGAGUGGAAUUCCCGGUGUAGCGGUGAAAUGCGCAGAUAUCGGGAAGAACACCCGUGGCUAAGGCGGCUCUCUAGUACGGUACUGACGCUGAGACGCGAAAGCGUGGGGAGCGAACGAGG